UAGGGAAUAUUAGAAAUGGACGAAAGUCUGAUCUAGCAACACCGCGUGUGCGAAGAAGGCCUUCGGGUCGUAAAGCACUUUUUGGAAGGAAUAGGAAGGAAUGUACUUCCAGAAUAAGUCUCGGCUAACUACGUGCCAGUAGCCGCGGUAACACGUAGGAGGCGAACGUUAUCCGGAUUUACUGGGCGUAAAGCGCGUGUAGGUGGUUCUGUAAGUAGGGCGUGAAAGCUCCUGGCUCAACUGGGAGAGGCCGUUCUAAACUACAGAACUAGAGGAUGGUAGAGGGAGGUGGAAUUCUGGGUGUAGCGGUGGAAUGCGCAGAUAUCCGGAGGAACACCAGUGGCGAAAGCGGCCUCCUGGACCACUCCUGACACUCAGACGCGAAAGCUAGGGUAGCAAACG
rnacentral:rRNA from 1 species